UUCGAUUCCGGAGAGGGAGCCUGAGAAACGGCUACNNNNNNNNNNNNNNGCAGCAGGCGCGCAAAUUACCCAAUCCCGANNNNGGGAGGUAGUGACAAUAAAUAACAAUACGGGGCUCAUUUGGGUCUCGUAAUUGGAAUGAGUACAAUUUAAAUCUCUUAACGAGGAACAAUUGGAGGGCAAGUCUGGUGCCAGCAGCCGCGGUAAUUCCAGCUCCAAUAGCGUAUAUUAAAGUUGUUGCAGUUAAAAAGCUCGUAGUUGAACUUCGGGGUCUACCCAUUGGUCAGGCUUAAUUGUCUGCACUGGUGAGAUGGAUCUCUACCUUCUGAGGAACUUUCAUGCCAUUUAUUUGGUGUGAUGGGAAAUCAGGACUGUUACUUUGAAAAAAUUAGAGUGUUUAAAGCAGACUAUCGUCUGAAUACAUUAGCAUGGAAUAAUGAAAUAGGACGGACUGAUUCUAUUUCGUUGGUUUCUAGGAUCACCGUAAUGAUUAAUAGGGAUAGUUGGGGGCAUUAGUAUUCAAUUGUCAGAGGUGAAAUUCUUGGAUUUAUUGAAGACUAACUACUGCGAAAGCAUUUGCCAAGGAUGUUUUCAUUAAUCAAGAACGAAAGUUAGGGGAUCGAAGACGAUCAGAUACCGUCGUAGUCUUAACCAUAAACUAUGCCGACUAGGGAUCGGACGAAGUUAAUUUUAUAAUGACGCGUUCGGCACCUUACGGGAAACCA
rnacentral:rRNA from 1 species